rnacentral:rRNA from 1 species
AUUGAACGCUGGCGGCAUGCCUUACACAUGCAAGUCGAACGGCAGCACGGGAGCAAUCCUGGUGGCGAGUGGCGAACGGGUGAGUAAUAUAUCGGAACGUGCCCAGUCGUGGGGGAUAACGUAGCGAAAGCUACGCUAAUACCGCAUACGAUCUAAGGAUGAAAGCGGGGGGAUCGCAAGACCUCGCGCGAUUGGAGCGGCCGAUAUCAGAUUAGGUAGUUGGUGGGGUAAAGGCUCACCAAGCCAACGAUCUGUAGCUGGUCUGAGAGGACGACCAGCCACACUGGAACUGAGACACGGUCCAGACUCCUACGGGAGGCAGCAGUGGGGAAUUUUGGACAAUGGACGCAAGUCUGAUCCAGCCAUUCCGCGUGCAGGAUGAAGGCCCUCGGGUUGUAAACUGCUUUUGUACGGAACGAAAAGGUUUCUCUUAAUACGAGGAGCUCAUGACGGUACCGUAAGAAUAAGCACCGGCUAACUACGUG